CUUGUACCAUGGAAACCAGAGAAGAUAAAUUCACCUUCACAACAGGAAAUGGUUGAAAUGGCAGGGGAAGUGAUUGAAGAAAAAUUAGAAGAUAUAUGUGGCUCACAUCUCCUGAGCAGGAGCCUACUCUGCCAGAGUGCUGGUCACCCCAUCUUGGUAUUCAUGAUUAAGAAGAUGAUAUUAUCAUGCAGAACAGCAUAACAUACUACCUCAAAACUCGGUGACUAAAUACUAAUUAUUGCACUUUAAAAUUUUAUGGCUUCAGAAUUCAGGCAGUAUUUUACUAGGUAAG